ACCACGUGACGGCGCAUCGCUGUUCGGGAUCUGGGGAGGGAGAGAGAGCGCAGCAGAAGCUGUGGUUGGGACGUGCGUCAUUGUAAAGGACUGGCAUACGCAAUAUUUUAAAAAAUACUUCACUGCCCCAAAACUCUUCGGGAUAAGCCCUGACCGCACGCUUAUAAAUCUGGACAGCAAAAUUUACAAAAAAAUAUGCAAUAAAAAUCACAAACCAGAGAAACUUGCAGAUGCUGGAAAUCCGGGCAACACACACAAAAUGCUGGAGGAACUCCAGGCCUGGCAGCACAUAUGGGGAAAAAAAAGUACAAUUGACGUUUCGGGCCGACACCCUACGGCAAGUCGAUAAAAAUUAAAUACUUGAAAAUUUGCAUUUAGGUACCAAGUGCAACAAAGACAUUCUAUUCUGAAAAAGGUCCCAGAAGAUAGAAAACACUAACAUAAACUCACUCCAAUUUCCUUAUUCAAGAGAGGGAGACAGAAAACAGGAAACUAAAGUGGGGUAAAAAGCUGGAGCACCAGAAGGAAACCCAGAUCAUAGGAAGAACAUCAACUCUGCACAAGCAGCAUCCAAGCAAGUCCGUCAUGGACCAUUCAAAGCUCAGCUGCAAAAAGGAGGGUUGAGCAUGGGGCUAGCACACCGAUCCUGUGAAAACCCAGUGCUACAGAAACACCAGCAGAAGCUCUAAAAACCUUCUGGCCCCAGACAGAAGAGCUACUGUUGGCAGACUAUGCCUGGUAACAGUGAUUAGCCUUAUUGAGGAUCUAACCUGCUCCCAACAUAUCUAUGCAGGGUCAGAUUUGGCAGGCUUCCAGAAAUCUGCUUGUGGAAAAGGAACUGCAGCUCAGCCACAAUGUCUCUUGAGAACUUUCAGACAAUGCAGAAGUUGAGAAGAAUGAAAAUACACAGAUAACAGCUAAGUGGCAGCCUCUUGUAUUAUACAUUUUCUAUGAAAAACAUAUGUGCAAAUGACAGUUUAAAUACUUGUGUUUCAUAAAUCAAUAGGUUAUUAAUAUUUAUUCAUAGCAUUGCUAAUAAACACAUUCUUGUAUAAAACAUUAGAAAAGGAGGAAGGAAAAUGACAAAUAAAAUGGAAGCAUUCCUUGUUGAAAGUAUUGGGCAAUGAGCAACAUAAGCAACAGAACUUAUAUGCAACAGUUACUGUUCUAAAGUUAUUAAACAAGAUUUAGCCAUCUUGCAAAGAUUGAAAUGUGUCAAUUUUCCACAUCUAAGAAUGCACACAAGUAGUCCAAUUAGCAAAUAUAUUGAUUUUCCUUUAAGUUGGUGGUUCAUUAGAGGAGACUAUAAAAUUGGCUGGAGAACAUGUAGGGGAAAGAAACGUGUAGAUUUAGAAAAUAAUGAAGGAAUGAUGACAGAUGAAAGACAAUGGAAUUUGACAGCAGAAAAGGAACAUGACUUGAAAACUAUAAUUAAAGAGAUGGCAAGACAUUUACCUAUGUAGUGUGAAUGCAAAUUCUAAAAUAAAGAGCUGCAAGUAUAACCUACAAAUAAGUUGAAUUUUUGGGGGGUUUCAUUUGGAAUAAGAGUAACUGAAUCACAUCUUCAAUGGAUGUAUAAAAAGUUAAAUUCCAUUUGUGAUUUCCAACAAAGUUAUGGAACCUUGAUAUAUUGUAUGAUCAACUUAAAGGCAAAAGAAAAUGUUUGCUCAAAUGCCAUUAUGCAACUUACAGAUGUCUGAAUGCAUGUGAUAAGACAAGAUUGUACACCAAAAUAGUUCCAUAUUAAGAAAUACAAAUGACAAAAAUAACCUCCCAAAAAUUGGACAUAGCAUUUGGCAAUCACACAAGUGAUGCAAUGGAAUGUGAUUACAACUGAAUUAUUUGUCACUAUUCCUUCAUUAUUUUCUAAAUCUACACAUUAUCAAUUAUUUCUUCCAUUCCAGUAUCUCUUAAUGCUCUCCAGCCAACUUUAUGGGGAAUUGUUAACGUGAAGCAACCUCUCAGUAGAGAGUACAAGCAGCCUUUAGCCAUCACGAGUCAAGUUGGUUUCAUGCAGCACUAGUAUAAUUGCAACAGAUUAAGCACCGCCUAUCUUGGCAAAAACAUCGGAUCAUGUAAAGGGAGAAGAAUAAGGCAUUUAAUGUAGGUACAGAGAGUAAACCUACAAAUCGGGGGAUAAGAAAGACAACCACAGAACAAGAGACUUUCUUGUUCAAUUGUAAUCUCUCUCCAAACUGAUACCAUAUUUUAAAUUAUAAUAUUUAACAAGGUUUUUAUUAAAAGUUUCCAGUUAUUUGCAUUUUGAAUGAAAUACUUCCAUUAUUCUAAUCUUAUGCUUUAAGAUUAACAUCAUGUUAACUAUUGCAAUGAAAGAUGAUAAAGGUUAAACAUUUAUCUAAUUGAGAGAAUCGCUGGGAUUCCCUUUGUUUAUUUAGGACACUAUGCCGCUUAAUUGAAAUGGAAACUGGUGCCAAAUAGUUUCUAACUAGCAUCAAUUGCAUGCACUUGUGUGGCCAUUAGAGACUACACUGCGUGAGAACAAAGUUGUUUUGCAUAGCAGCAGUUGUAUGCACUUGUGUUCAAAAAACAGUGAUUUUUGUCACUGAUAAUUGGUGAGAAAUAAGCAGUAAGACAUUUAAGAACUGUUUUAUUCACUAUACUUUCAAGCAUUCAGGCUUGGAGAUGCCAGAAAGAAAAUGAAACAAUCUCACUACUUCAGCAAGUUAGGAACUCCAAAUAAUUUGAAGGUAUCAAAGAUCAUCUUAUCUUACAACAAAAAUGAAGAUUUGGAGGAUGCAACAUUUCUAGUUAGCUUCAGUUGUGUGCACUUAUGUGGCUGUUGGACACUACACUGUGCUUAGAGUGAACAAUCUUUAAAAUAGCAUUAGUUGUACAUGCUUGUGUUACGUUAUUCAUUUGGGCUGACCAAGGCCAAAUUAAAAGUGAUUUUUGAAACUAAUUCAUGUAGGUAGGUAAUGAAGGCAGUGCAUUAUCUAUACUAGGUGUCCGUGUUGAUUUUGCUCAUUUAGUCAGUCAAAAGAACAUGGCAGCAUACACUAAGAAUUCCUCUAUUGAUAACUAUAAGGAACUAUUAGUUUUUUAGUACUAUUACACAGCUUCAUAGUGUACUAAUUUGUUAUGUAUUUCAUUUAAGCACACAAUUUGUUACUCAGUUAAAUGGUAGUUUGUCUUUUUUAUACCCUUUUAACUAUUUCCCUGAAAGCUCCAUGAAUUGGGGUAGCCACUUAAUUUGGCCAAAAUGUACUGGUCCCGAUAUGUCCCAGUUAACUGGAAUCCACUGUAUAUUCUUUUAAAAAGUAACUGUUAUGCAUAUAACCAUUAAGCAUGACUUACAGGGAUAUAGAAUGGAAAUGGUAGUAAAUAUAUUUGGUCAUAGCUGAUGAACAACUAUUCAAAAUGCAGAUGGGCAUUGCAUCCCUAUGAAUGUAGGGUAUCUUGAUUUUUUUUCCCUUCACACGUCUAUACAUGCUCAAUUCACUCAAGACAUGUACAUAAUUUUUUUUGCCUUUAUUACCUCAGUGGC